AAUAAUUAAUUAAACUCCGCCCACCCCCCGCCCGUCUUUCUCUCCCUCACCACCGCCGUUAUCUGGUCACGGCACCAUCGUCACUGCUAUCCGAACGGGCGCUGCCACUUCUUUGAGUCAGAUCGCGUCGUCGUCUGUCUCAAACCCACGAGAUCCAACGCUCAACCGUCGUUCAUCACCAUCCGCUGCUAACAGUCGCGCCGCUGCUGUUCACUCACCGUCGGGGCGUCGCCGUCACAAUCGUUGGUCACCGCUAAGUGUUCGAAUCCAGCCGCGUCAUUCAUUUAGGUUGUUUAUGUCCUUCCGUGUGUUCAGAUCUAGUCACAUUGCCUGUUUCAGACCAUUCAACCGCCGAUCGUCGACGAUCUCUUCACCUCUCGUUGCUCCGUGAGCCAUGUAUCAUUGAAUUUUGCCACGUCUCGCUGUGAACUAGAGUUUUUGGAGUUUUGGAGUGUCAAGAAUUACUUUCAAGCAGCUUAAGGACCCGAUUGACAACGUUUGGUGAGUCUUGAUUGUUGUUCUUCAAAGAUUUGAAUGGAUAGUUGGCCUAAUUAAUGACUAAAUUUUAAUUGUGGAAGAUUAAUUUGAGAUUUCAAGGAGGGGUGGAGCAGUCAUUCAACAAUAUCAAAAGAGUUUUGACAUGUUUGAUUGGGAAUUUGUUUGUAAAGCUUGAAAGGAUUUUGGGAUCAAGUUAUAUUUAGGGGUUAAUUCAAGGCCUUUAUUUCAAGAUAGAAAGGAUUUUGUUCAGUUAUCAAGACUUCAUGGAGGCAACUAUCUUUUUAUUGGUUCGCCUUCGAUCUAGUCCCCUUGCAUGAUAAUGAUUGGACUGGAUUGAUUGGACUGUCUAAUUUAGACCGAUUGGACUAUCUAAUCUAAUUAGACUGAAUGGAUUGUUUUGACCA